rnacentral:tRNA from 1 species
GCGAUCGUGGUGAAACUGGUAGACACGCUGUCUUCAGGAGGCAGUGCUUCACGGCAUGGGGGUUCGAGUCCCCCCGAUCGCA